CAGCUUGCUGYUUYGCUGACGAGUGGCGGACGGGUGAGUAAUGUCUGGGAAACUGCCUGAUGGAGGGGGAUAACUACUGGAAACGGUAGCUAAUACCGCAUAACGUCGCAAGACCAAAGAGGGGGACCUUCGGGCCUCUUGCCAUCGGAUGUGCCCAGAUGGGAUUAGCUWGUWGGUGGGGUAACGGCUCACCWAGGCGACGAUCCCUAGCUGGUCUGAGAGGAUGACCAGCCACACUGGAACUGAGACACGGUCCAGACUCCUACGGGAGGCAGCAGUGGGGAAUAUUGCACAAUGGGCGCAAGCCUGAUGCAGCCAUGCCGCGUGUAUGAAGAAGGCCUUCGGGUUGUAAAGUACUUUCAG
rnacentral:rRNA from 1 species